GUGGGGAAUAUUGGACAAUGGGCGAAAGCCUGAUCCAGCCAUGCCGCGUGUGUGAAGAAGGUCUUCGGAUUGUAAAGCACUUUAAGUUGGGAGGAAGGGUUGUACGUUAAUACCGUGCAAUUUUGACGUUACCGACAGAAUAAGCACCGGCUAACUUCGUGCCAGCAGCCGCGGUAAUACGAAGGGUGCAAGCGUUAAUCGGAAUUACUGGGCGUAAAGCGCGCGUAGGUGGUUCAGUAAGGUGGAAGUGAAAUCCCCGGGCUCAAGCUGGGAACUGCUUUCAAAACUGCUGAGCUAGAGUACGGUAGAGGGUAGUGGAAUUUCCUGUGUAGCGGUGAAAUGCGUAGAUAUAGGAAGGAACACCAGUGGCGAAGGCGACUACCUGGACUGAUACUGACACUGAGGUGCGAAAGCGUGGGGAACAAACAGGAUUAGAAACCCUUGUAGUCC
rnacentral:rRNA from 1 species